rnacentral:rRNA from 1 species
GACGUAGGGCGCGAGCGUUGUCCGGAUUUAUUGGGCGUAAAGAGCUCGUAGGCGGUUUGUCGCGUCCGCUGUGAAAACUCGGGGCUUAACUCCGGAUCUGCGGUGGGUACGGGCAGACUAGAGUGAUGUAGGGGAGACUGGAAUUCCUGGUGUAGCGGUGAAAUGCGCAGAUAUCAGGAGGAACACCGAUGGCGAAGGCAGGUCUCUGGGCAUUAACUGACGCUGAGGAGCGAAAGCAUGGGGAGCGAACAGG